rnacentral:rRNA from 1 species
ACGUACGCUGGCGGCACGCCUAACACAUGCAAGUCGAACGAAGUAGCAAUACUUAGUGGCAGACGGGUGAGUAACAUGUAGGUAUCUGCCCUUUGGCCUGGAAUAACACGAGGAAACUUGUGCUAAUACCGGAUAAGUCUUUACGGAGAAAGCUUUAUGCACCAUUGGAUGAGCCCGCACUUGAUUAGUUUGUUGGUGGGGUAAUGGCCUACCAAGACUGUGAUCAAUAGCUGAUUUGAGAGGAUGAUCAGCCACAUUGGGACUGAGACACGGCCCAAACUCCUACGGGAGGCAGCAGUGGGGAAUCUUGCACAAUGGAGGAAACUCUGAUGCAGCGAUGCCGCGUGAGUGAAGAAGGCCCUUGGGUUGUAAAGCUCUUUCGUCGGGGAAGAAAAUGACUGUACCCGAAUAAGAAGGUCCGGCUAACUUCGUGCCAGCAGCCGCGGUAAUACGAAGGGACCUAGCGUAGUUCGGAAUUACUGGGCUUAAAGAGUUCGUAGGUGGUUGAAAAAGUUAGUGGUGAAAUCCCAGAGCUUAACUCUGGAACUGCCAUUAAAACUUUUCAGCUAGAGUAUGAUAGAGGAAAGCAGAAUUUCUAGUGUAGAGGUGAAAUUCGUAGAUAUUAGAAAGAAUACCAAUUGCGAAGGCAGCUUUCUGGAUCAUUACUGA